GUCCCAGUGAGUUCAAGUGGUAGAGCAUGAGACUCUUAAUCUCAGGAUCGUGGGUUCGAGCCCCACGUUGGGCA